UGCAAGAGUGCACGGCAUGCACUGGGGUCAAAGAGAGACGGAUGAACUUCUUGGUGGAGCUUGCACAGUCUCAUAUGGCAGCUAAGGAGGUGGAUAAGGAAAACCUUCAGCAGCAACCACCCACACCUGACACUGGG